UACGUAGGGUGCAAGCGUUGUCCGGAAUUAUUGGGCGUAAAGAGCUCGUAGGCGGUUUGUCGCGUCUGCUGUGAAAACCCGAGGCUCAACCUCGGGCCUGCAGUGGGUACGGGCAGACUAGAGUGCGGUAGGGGAGAUUGGAAUUCCUGGUGUAGCGGUGGAAUGCGCAGAUAUCAGGAGGAACACCAACAGCGAAGGCAGAUCUCUGGGACGUUACUGACGCUGAGACGCGAAAGCGUGGGGAGCAAACAGG
rnacentral:rRNA from 1 species